UUAGGGUUCGAUUCCGGAGAGGGAGCCUGAGAAACGGCUACCACAUCUAAGGAAGGCAGCAGGCGCGCAAAUUACCCAAUCCUAAUACAGGGAGGUAGUGACAAGAAAUAACAAUACAGGACUUAAUUGUUUUGUAAUUGGAAUGAGUUAAGUAUAAACCCCUUUACAAGUAUCAAUUGGAGGGCAAGUCUGGUGCCAGCAGCCGCGGUAAUUCCAGCUCCAAUAGCGUAUAUUAAAGUUGUUGCAGUUAAAAAGCUCGUAGUUGGAUUUCUGUUAAUAUUUUAUAUUAUUAAUUUAUUAUUAUUAAUAUAAUAUUAACAUAAUUCAUAUUACUUUUUUUAAGUAUAUGAAAUUUUACUUUGAGAAAAUUAGAGUGCUUAAAGCAGGCAAUUGCCUUGAAUACUCCAGCAUGGAAUAAUAUUAAAGAUUUUUAUCUUUCUUAUUGGUUCUAAGAUAGAAAUAAUGAUUAAUA
rnacentral:rRNA from 1 species